rnacentral:rRNA from 1 species
CAGCCGCGGUAAUACGGAGGGUGCAUGCGUUACUCGGAAUUACUGGGCGUAAAGCGUGCGUAGGUGGUUUGUUAAGUCAGGGGUGAAAUCCCGGAGCUCAACUCCGGAACUGCCUUUGAUACUGGCAAGCUAGAGUCCGGAAGAGGUGAGUGGAACUCCUAGUGUAGAGGUGGAAUUCGUAGAUAUUAGGAAGAACACCAGUGGCGAAGGCGGCUCACUGGUCCGGUACUGACGCUGAGGUGCGAAAGCGUGGGGAGCAAAC